ensembl:lncRNA
GUUUACAAACAAGUAAUACAACACACUGUCAAUAACCAGUGUCAUCUGGUACCUCAAGUUUGUAAACAUUCAUUAACAAACAUCAACAAUGAACUGACAGAAUUGAAACAGUGAUAAUUCUGUUCUAAUCUACUGGUCUUAUUGUGGGACCAACAGUCUACUGCUGUCAGGGUUGAUGAGACAGGACACAAGCUCAGGGACAACAGAGGACAUUUAAUAAAACAACUUGAACUAUAACAAAAGAAACACUGAACAUCACAACUAGACAGAACAACCAUAACAUAAAGCAAACACCAAACACAGACCCACCAGAUACACUGGGAAAGGAAGAACUGAAAUAGGAUCAGUGAUUAUGGAAACAGGUGAGGCUGAUAAACAACAGAACAGGUGUCUGUGAUCCAAAUGAGGGAGAGAGGGUGUUGGAUCUCACUGGCACAGCAACCGGGCCAUGCCAGGAUGUGACAGAACCCCCCAAAGGCGCGGCUCCAGUCACCAGACACAGAAGGGGGGAGGGGGGGUGAGUCCACCAGUGCAUCGCCGAAGCCCACAGAGUCGUACGGAAAAGGGCUCCAUGAGCAACCAGAACAGCCGACCCCAAAACCCAGAACCAGAAGUGUGGGCAGGUUCCUGUGGUCAUACGGUGUUGAUAGUCUGGGGGAGUGGCCAAGUUCCUGCCAUGGGGUGUCCGCCCAGAAUACGCUCCGCCCCUCCUCCACUAACCUGUCCCCUUUCCAGGGAGUCCUUGGUUUUCAGCCAUCAUGGCACCGUGGCACGGCAGCCGGAGUUCCUGUGGUGGAGGACUGGUUCCGGCGCGGUGGGGAUGUCUGGGACGUGGCCCACUGGAGUCUGCAGCGCGGCGGGCAGCGGCACAAAGGUCAGACCGACCGUCGUCUCAGUGAGACUCUGGUGUUCGUGCACGGCGACAGGGUCUGGCUGUCUACCCGGGACCUGCCCCUUCACCUGCCCUGCCAGAAUCUCAGGGUGUGGAUUGUGGGGCCGUUUAAAGUCCUGGGGAGGGGGACCGGGGUUCCUUUUAUCCUGCAACGUA